rnacentral:ncRNA from 1 species
ACAAAGGCUAUGAUAAGAAAGAGUAGCAAUCAUGUAAACAAACAGAAAGCGACCGGUUGAUGAGAGGUGCAUGUUGAACGAUUGUGAAUACAUCUUGGAGCUGUGUACCGAAUUUAAGUAGGCUACACCGGUGGAGCACCCGUAAUCAUGUGCUGAAGUAUCGUCAAUUGACUGUACUUUCUGAGGUAAGUAAUGUGAAUUACUUACGAAUUAAGGUGGUAACACGAGAUAAUCGUCCUUUUG